GCGCCCUGCACUGGCGACAUUCUCAAAUUGCGGGAAGUUCCUAAAGCCUAUGCUACCGCAGCCAGCCGAAAGGCAUGGUGCGCACCGGGGUAAUGACCUAGGGGAUGGUAACAACGCAUAGGAUAAGCUGGGCGCGAGCCUGGUGCAAUGGAUAAUCCGCAGCCAAGUGCUACGGGCGCCCGCGGGCGUCUACGCAUGCAGUUCAACGGCCAAAUGGGAGUGGGUCGCUGGAGCCAUCCAGCGGCUUAAGAUAUGGUCUACUCCUCGCGGGAAACUGCGAG
rnacentral:ncRNA from 1 species